rnacentral:tRNA from 1 species
GCCCCUGUAUCCCAAUUGGUAGAGGAGACAGCCUCAAAAUCUGUACAGUGUGGGUUCGAGUCCCACCGGGGGCACCU